rnacentral:rRNA from 1 species
CGGUAGCACAGAGAGCUUGCUCUCGGGUGACGAGUGGCGGACGGGUGAGUAAUGUCUGGGAAACUGCCUGAUGGAGGGGGAUAACUACUGGAAACGGUAGCUAAUACCGCAUAACGUCGCAAGACCAAAGAGGGGGACCUUCGGGCCUCUUGCCAUCAGAUGUGCCCAGAUGGGAUUAGCUAGUAGGUGGGGUAACGGCUCACCUAGGCGACGAUCCCUAGCUGGUCUGAGAGGAUGACCAGCCACACUGGAACUGAGACACGGUCCAGACUCCUACGGGAGGCAGCAGUGGGGAAUAUUGCACAAUGGGCGCAAGCCUGAUGCAGCCAUGCCGCGUGUAUGAAGAAGGCCUUCGGGUUGUAAAGUACUUUCAGCGGGGAGGAAGGUGUUGUGGUUAAUAACCGCAGCAAUUGACGUUACCCGCAGAAGAAGCACCGGCUAACUCCGUGCCAGCAGCCGCGGUAAUACGGAGGGUGCAAGCGUUAAUCGGAAUUACUGGGCGUAAAGCGCACGCAGGCGGUCUGUCAAGUCGGAUGUGAAAUCCCCGGGCUCAACCUGGGAACUGCAUUCGAAACUGGCAGGCUAGAGUCUUGUAGAGGGGGGUA